rnacentral:rRNA from 1 species
AGAUUGAACGCUGGCGGCAGGCCUAACACAUGCAAGUCGAACGCUCCGCAAGGAGAGUGGCAGACGGGUGAGUAACGCGUGGGAAUUUCCCCCAAGGUUCGGAAUAACUGAGGGAAACUUCAGCUAAUACCGAAUGGUACCGAGAGGUUAAAGAUUUAUCGCCUUGGGAUGAGCCCGCGUUGGAUUAGCUAGUUGGUGGGGUAACGGCCCACCAAGGCUUUGAUCCAUAGCUGGUCUGAGAGGACGACCAGCCACACUGGGACUGAGACACGGCCCAGACUCCUACGGGAGGCAGCAGUGGGGAAUAUUGCGCAAUGGGCGGAAGCCUGACGCAGCGACGCCGCGUGGGGGAUGACGGCCUUCGGGUUGUAAACCUCUUUCGCCAGGGACGAAGAGAAAUUGACGGUACCUGGAUAAGAAGCACCGGCCAACUACGUGCCAGCAGCCGC